rnacentral:rRNA from 5 species
AAAAUGACUCUCGGCAACGGAUAUCUCGGCUCUCGCAUCGAUGAAGAACGUAGCGAAAUGCGAUACUUGGUGUGAAUUGCAGAAUCCCGUGAACCAUCGAGUCUUUGAACGCAAGUUGCGCCCGAAGCCACCAGGCUGAGGGCACGUCUGCCUGGGCGU